rnacentral:rRNA from 1 species
GAUGAACGCUGGCGGCGUGCCUAAUACAUGCAAGUCGAGCGAACAGACGAGGAGCUUGCUCCUCUGACGUUAGCGGCGGACGGGUGAGUAACACGUGGAUAACCUACCUAUAAGACUGGGAUAACUUCGGGAAACCGGAGCUAAUACCGGAUAAUAUAUUGAACCGCAUGGUUCAAUAGUGAAAGACGGUCUUGCUGUCACUUAUAGAUGGAUCCGCGCCGCAUUAGCUAGUUGGUAAGGUAACGGCUUACCAAGGCGACGAUGCAUAGCCGACCUGAGAGGGUGAUCGGCCACACUGGAACUGAGACACGGUCCAGACUCCUACGGGAGGCAGCAGUAGGGAAUCUUCCGCAAUGGGCGAAAGCCUGACGGAGCAACGCCGCGUGAGUGAUGAAGGUCUUCGGAUCGUAAAACUCUGUUAUUAGGGAAGAACAAAUGUGUAAGUAACUAUGCACGUCUUGACGGUACCUAAUCAGAAAGCCACGGCUAACUACGUG